rnacentral:rRNA from 1 species
AUAAUGGGUCAGCGACUUAUAUUCUGUAGCAAGGUUAACCGAAUAGGGGAGCCGAAGGGAAACCGAGUCUUAACUGGGCGUUAAGUUGCAGGGUAUAGACCCGAAACCCGGUGAUCUAGCCAUGGGCAGGUUGAAGGUUGGGUAACACUAACUGGAGGACCGAACCGACUAAUGUUGAAAAAUUAGCGGAUGACUUGUGGCUGGGGGUGAAAGGCCAAUCAAACCGGGAGAUAGCUGGUUCUCCCCGAAAGCUAUUUAGGUAGCGCCUCGUGAAUUCAUCUCCGGGGGUAGAGCACUGUUUCGGCAAGGGGGUCAUCCCGACUUACCAACCCGAUGCAAACUGCGAAUACCGGAGAAUGUUAUCACGGGAGACACACGGCGGGUGCUAACGUCCGUCGUGAAGAGGGAAACAACCCAGACCGCCAGCUAAGGUCCCAAAGUCAUGGUUAAGUGGGAAACGAUGUGGGAAGGCCCAGACAGCCAGGAUGUUGGCUUAGAAGCAGCCAUCAUUUAAAGAAAGCGUAAUAGCUCACUGGUCGAGUCGGCCUGCGCGGAAGAUGUAACGGGGCUAAACCAUGCACCGAAGCUGCGGCAGCGACGCUGAUGCGUUGUUGGGUAGGGGAGCGUUCUGUAAGCCUGUGAAGGUGUGCUGUGAGGCAUGCUGGAGGUAUCAGAAGUGCGAAUGCUGACAUAAGUAACGAUAAAGCGGGUGAAAAGCCCGCUCGCCGGAAGACCAAGGGUUCCUGUCCAACGUUAAUCGGGGCAGGGUGAGUCGACCCCUAAGGCGAGGCCGAAAGGCGUAGUCGAUGGGAAACAGGUUAAUAUUCCUGUACUUGGUGUUACUGCGAAGGGGGGACGGAGAAGGCUAUGUUGGCCGGGCGACGGUUGUCCCGGUUUAAGCGUGUAGGCUGGUUUUCCAGGCAAAUCCGGAAAACUAAGGCUGAGGCGUGAUGACGAGGCACUACGGUGCUGAAGCAACAAAUGCCCUGCUUCCAGGAAAAGCCUCUAAGCAUCAGGUAACAUCAAAUCGUACCCCAAACCGACACAGGUGGUCAGGUAGAGAAUACCAAGGCGCUUGAGAGAACUCGGGUGAAGGAACUAGGCAAAAUGGUGCCGUAACUUCGGGAGAAGGCACGCUGAUAUGUAGGUGAAGUCCCUCGCGGAUGGAGCUGAAAUCAGUCGAAGAUACCAGCUGGCUGCAACUGUUUAUUAAAAACACAGCACUGUGCAAACACGAAAGUGGACGUAUACGGUGUGACGCCUGCCCGGUGCCGGAAGGUUAAUUGAUGGGGUCAGCGCAAGCGAAGCUCUUGAUCGAAGCCCCGGUAAACGGCGGCCGUAACUAUAACGGUCCUAAGGUAGCGAAAUUCCUUGUCGGGUAAGUUCCGACCUGCACGAAUGGCGUAAUGAUGGCCAGGCUGUCUCCACCCGAGACUCAGUGAAAUUGAACUCGCUGUGAAGAUGCAGUGUACCCGCGGCAAGACGGAAAGACCCCGUGAACCUUUACUAUAGCUUGACACUGAACAUUGAGCCUUGAUGUGUAGGAUAGGUGGGAGGCUUUGAAGUGUGGACGCCAGUCUGCAUGGAGCCGACCUUGAAAUACCACCCUUUAAUGUUUGAUGUUC